rfam:Mycobacterium tusciae strain DSM 44153 NODE_3_length_573471_cov_63.1735, whole genome shotgun sequence.
GCAGGCGCCGUGCGAUCCGGCGCCCCGGACGAGGUGCGUCGUACCCGGUCAGCGACAAGACGGCGCGUG